AUCUGAGGGGAGAGAGAGAGAGAGACCCUUCCCCCUAAUGGUUGAGGGGUAGGUCAUACUAUCUGAGGGGAGAGAGAGACCCUUCCCCCUAAUGGUUGAGGGUCAUACUAUCUGAGGGGAGAGAGAGACCCUUCCCCCUAAUGGUUGAGGGUUAGGUCAUACUAUCUGAGGGGAGAGAGAGACCCUUCCCCUAAUCGUUGAGGGUUAGGUCAUACUAUCUGAGGGGAGAGAGAGAGAGAGACCCUUCCCCCUAAUGGUUGAGGGGUAGGUCAUACUAUCUGAGGGGAGAGAGAGACCUUUCCCCCUAAUGGUUGAGGGUUAUACUAUCUGAGGGGAGAGAGAGAGAGAGAGAGACCCUUCCCCCUAAUGGUUGAGGGUUAGGUCAUACUAUCUGAGGGGAGAGAGAGACCCUUCCCCUAAUGGUUGAGGGUUAUACUAUCUGAGGGGAGAGAGAGAGAGAGAGACCCUUCCCCCUAAUGGUUGAGGGUUAUACUAUCUGAGGGGAGAGAGAGA
ensembl:lncRNA